rnacentral:tRNA from 1 species
GCCCAUGUAGCUCAAUUGGAAGAGCAGCAGUUUACGAAGCUGCAGGUUGUAGGUUCAACUCCUACCAUGGGCACCA